rnacentral:lncRNA from 1 species
GGGGCUUGGCUGAGCAGAGUGUGGCCAGCCUAGCGGGGGACAGCCUACGUCCUGGCCUCACUGGUCUCGAGGUGCCCAAGCCAGGGGCCCAGGACUUUGGGCGUUACUAGGAAAUGAUGGGAACCCAGGGUGGGGUGGCGUGAAACAAGAUGAGAUG